GACGAACGCUGGCGGCGUGCUUGACACAUGCAAGUCGAACGGAAAGGCCUGCUUUCCCUUGUGGAUUGCGGGUACUCGAGUGGCGAACGGGUGAGUAACACGUGAGUGAUCUGCCCCCAACUUGGGUAUAAGCCUGGGAAACUGGGUCUAAUUCCCGAUAGGACUGCAGGGUGGUGCCUGUGGUGGAAAACGAUUUUCUAGUGGUUGGGGAUGAGCUCGCGGCCUAUCAGCUUGUUGGUGGGGUAAUGGCCUACCAAGGCGGCGACGGGUAGCCGGCCUGAGAGGGUGGACGGCCACAUUGGGACCGAGAUACGGCCCAGACUCCUACGGGAGGCAGCAGUGGGGAAUAUUGCACAAUGGGCGGAAGCCUGAUGCAGCGACGCCGCGUGGGGGAUGACGGCCUUCGGGUUGUAAACUCCUUUCGACCGCGAGGAAGCCACCUGGUUGGAAGGGUGGUGACGGUAGUGGUAGAAGAAGCACCGGCUAACUACGUG
rnacentral:rRNA from 1 species